GACGAACGCUGGCGGCGUGCUUAACACAUGCAAGUCGAACGGAAAGGCCCUGCUUUUGUGGGGUGCUCGAGUGGCGAACGGGUGAGUAACACGUGAGUAACCUGCCCUUGACUUUGGUAUAACUUCAGGAAACUGGGGCUAAUACCGGAUAGGAGCUCCUGCUGCAUGGUGGGGGUUGGAAAGUUUCGGCGGUUGGGGAUGGACUCGCGGCUUAUCAGCUUGUUGGUGGGGUAGUGGCUUACCAAGGCUUUGACGGGUAGCCGGCCUGAGAGGGUGACCGGCCACAUUGGGACUGAGAUACGGCCCAGACUCCUACGGGAGGCAGCAGUGGGGAAUAUUGCACGAUGGGCGGAAGCCUGAUGCAGCAACGCCGCGUGCGGGAUGACGGCCUUCGGGUUGUAAACCGCUUUCGCCUGUGACGAAGCGUGAGUGACGGUAAUGGGUAAAGAAGCACCGGCUAACUACGUG
rnacentral:rRNA from 1 species